GACAGAGGGUGCAAACGUUUGUUCGGAAUUACUGGGCGUAAAGCGAGUGUAGGCGGUCCGAUAAGUCGGGUGUGAAAGCCCUGGGCUCAACCCAGGAAGUGCACUCGAAACUGCCGGGCUAGAGUAUCGGAGAGGUUGGUGGAAUUCUCGGUGUAGAGGUGAAAUGCGCAGAUAUCAGGAAGAACACCCGUGGCGAAGGCGGCUCUCUGGAACGCAACUGACGCUGAGACGGCGAAAGCGUGGGGAGCAAACAGG
rnacentral:rRNA from 1 species